AUUGAAGCCCGAGUAAACGGCGGCCGUAACUAUAACGGUCCUAAGGUAGCGAAAUUCCUUGUCGGUUAAAUACCGACCUGCAUGAAUGGCGUAACGAGAUGGGAGCUGUCUCAACCAGAGAUUCAGUGAAAUUGUAGUGGAGGUGAAAAUUCCUCCUACCCGCGGCAAGACGGAAAGACCCCGUG
rnacentral:rRNA from 1 species